rnacentral:lncRNA from 1 species
GCUUGGUUAUCUAUUCCUCAUGUAACUGGAGAGUCUUAUGUACUCUUGACUUGUUUGGCUGUGCACUCCACCAUAAAGUUGUAGAGGCUAGGUUUAAUCUAAUCCAUUUAUCUAAAAAAGAUUGGCUGGUUAAUAAUUUGAAGUUUAAACCCAGGUUCACGAAUUUCAUCUCGUCUGAAAAUGACUUCUGUUGGAUUAGUUUGAACACUUCGGAAGUAAUUUACUCGAAAUAUCAAAUUAGAGCAUGCAUCACUGAUCCUUUUAGGCGAGGCCAAAGGAAUUUGACACCCAUCUUUGUAUAGAAUGAAAAAUGAAGUGCAGAAUUAAACUCUGAACACAACAACUCUUAAUGAAAAAAAAACAUUACUCAGUUAAUGAAAUGCACAAAUCCUACCUCCACAAUUGCUUUUCUUAAUGCUCUAAUUAAACUCUAAUUAAGGAUCAUGCACUAUUCUGAUUCAGUCCAUGCAUGGAAGAAUGCACAACAUUUUCUUCUUCUUCUCCCUGAAUUUCUUGUAGGUCCAAGUACAGAUACUGUGAACUGGAUGUGCUACUGAUCGAGGCAAGCAUUGAACUGGAGGAAACACUCCAGUACACUGCAAAGGCCGUUUCUAUAGUAUUUUGUGCAGCGUAUCCAGAUCGAAAGGCUGGAGUGAAUGCACACGCAUGAUCAAACGGUUUUAACAGAUCGACAGCUCAAGUUAAUUAAUUAGCACCCCAUGUGAAGGGCUCCUUUUUUAAAUAGAAAAACUUAUGUAGGGUGCAUAUCGAAUAAUUGAACUGUACGUGAUUUUAAGCUACGUGCAUUAUUUUCACAUAGACCCCUCACUAAGUUUAAAUUGUAUUAUUACAAUCUCAUGCAGCUAGCUCUGGCUCCCGUAUGACAACCUCUCUGCGGAGUCCGUGCUCCGGCGACACCACGCCUUCAGGUUCUCCGGCGGCAGCCACCACCUUUCUUCAUCAGAGGAAUGGAAUGGAAUUAAACUCUCCGAAUGAAGGCAAGAUCGCUUGUACUUUACUAGCUCGAGCUGCAGCAAGUUUUCAGAGCUGAACAAAUUCGUUAUAUAAUAUCACACCACGAUCUUGAUUCUGAUUUUCAUAAACUAUUGUCAGCAAAAAAACAGAGAUGCAUAUAUACACACACAUAUAUAGUCAUGCUCAUAUAUGUUUAGUACUGAUUAGCUAGCUUGAUAUACACAUGCACGUAGAAGUAACUAGUUAUUAUAUUCAUGUCAGUCAGAAUGAUAUGCUAACAGAAGAAAUAUUUUCAGGAUGAAUUGAAGCUAAUUAAACAUGCGAGAGAUAGAACAGAAAUGCAGAGAGAGAGAAGGGAAGAGGGCCAUGCUUGGCACCUCGCACGCCGUCCGCAGCGGCCAACAACGAAAGCUCUCUUUCAUGGUGGGUUGGCAGCCAUGCGAGCGGCAUACAGGGAGCCAGGCAUAUUCCCUACCUUUUCAUCACCUCCUUCUUCUUCCACCCAAACACACACACUUGCAUAUAUCUUCUCCAAAUAUUGCCACCAUUGCCACACCCAAACUAGCUAACCAUGUAUAUAUAUAUAUCUCUCUUGGAAUGCUUUUGGACGCCAUGAACAUCUAUAUAUCUACUGUAUCUUUGUGUAUGUAAAUCUCUCUUAGAACUACUUCUUCACCCUUUCUUUAGUUUCUCCCUUUCACAGUGGAUGUGAAGAGGAUGCAGCAAGGUUGGCCAUGGCUAGCUAGAAGAGAUGGAUGGAUGGAUGGAGCAUGGUGCUGUGGUUGUGCUAGUAGCUCUGUGUGUGAAAUGGUGCAUGUUUGCAU